GCCUAUUAUUAUUUCUCAAGCCCAAACUACAUUUGGCGCAACUUUUUUUGGACCUCCCCGCGUUACUAAUUUCUGACCCGCCCGAUAACAGAAUAGGGCUUCUUGCUUCACCUUUUUACCUGCAACAAUUUUUCCCCAAUUUCAUUCCAUCUUCUUCUUCCCCUCAAAUCGACAUCGAUUUCUCAUCUGAAAGUUCAAAUCAAUCUCCGAUUUGUCUAAUUCGUUCUCUCCUCUUUCUAUUGAUACAUCUUUCGGCUCUAUCCGAUAGCUAAUUAUGGUGCAAAAAAGGCCUUUUGGUGAAGAGGAUCUGUAUGAGGUUUCAUCUAAGCAACCAAGGCAUGAACCCAGUUGUCAGCUAGUUUCAGUUUUGGAACUUUCUCGUAAAUCAGUAGAUGUGGAUGCUUAUGCUUCAGGUGGUGAUGAGGACAAAUCUUUGAGAAUCAUCCCUGAUGCAAACAAGAAAUUUGAUAGCCUCAUUGUGGCUGAAGUUCUUCUUUCUUCUGGGAAGGAAACUGAGAUGGGCAUUCAUGGAUCUGCUUCAAACUCUUCCUGGCCCACCAGUAGCACCAGUGAGGAAGACAACAGGCCUGAGGCUCCUUUUCACUUAUCGACGUCUCCUGAAUAUUACUAUUUUGAUCAUCCGUUCAGGGCUGCUGCUCAUCACAGGGAGAUAUAUUCUUCUCUUUUGAGUAAUGCUCAAAAGAUGGUCCCUAUUGGACCAGAUUUCCAGGCAGAGCUACCAGAAUGGACACCAUAUAGUAAUAAGGAUAAACCAUGCAUAGAGGGUAUACAUGAAACUCUGAGUCCUCCAUCUCAAGCCGAUGAAAAUAAACUUACUGGAAGGACUAUUAUUCCAAUGCCUAAAAUGGAGCUACUUGCAGAUCAGGUUGAGAAUAUUGGAGAGAGAAGAGUUGAAUGUUCCUGUAAAGAUAUAGGUUCCAUAAGAUGUGUUCAGCUAGACAUCAUCAAAGCAAGGGAAAAACUAAAGCUAGCCCUUGGCGAGGAGACAUUUGUUAGGUUGGGUUUUUGUGACACAGGAGAGGUAGUGGCAGAAAAAUGGAGUGAAGAGGAAGAGGAACUAUUUCAUGAGGUUGUAUUGUCCAAUCUUGCAUCGCUAGGCAAUAAUUUCUGGAACCAUCUUGCAAUUGAGUUUCCUUCACGGAGGAGGGAAGAACUUGUCAGCUAUUAUUUUAAUGUCUUUAUUUUGCGAAAACGUGCUGAGCAGAACAGAUUUGAUCCACUGAACAUAGACAGUGAUAAUGAUGAGUGGCAUGACGCAGUUGAUGAUGCUGAUGAGGUAGCUAAAAUGACGGAUGAAGAUGAGGAUUCUGUGGUUGAAUCUCCAGCAUAUCAUAAUGAUUUCAGCUGCAAUAUGAUCCCUGAGGAGCAUGAUAGACGAACAUAUGAUGAGGAUGUGGGUGAAGCAAUAUGGGAAGAUUAUAAGCCUGUAAAUUUUGGUAGCCGGAAGGUCUUCACGGAUGUGCAUGAAUCAUGUCCUGGUAAGUUUGAUAAUAACAGUAUUUAUAAACUUGGUACGCAUCCUCAAGACCAAGGACUAUCAAAUAAAGUGAUUGAGCAAGAAGUGCAAGGUGGCUCCUGUACCACUGAUGCAGCUGGGGUUAAUUCAGAAUCAUCACUAAGGAAGACCAACAAUGAUAAACAUUGGGCAAGCGAUAUUGCUGGUAUGGGCAGUUGCACGAAGCAUGAUAGUCUGUUGGAGUCAUGUAAUGGCAAAGAAUGGGAUGGUGGGUACUUGAGCUGUACCAGAAAUGAAGUUGAUUUGGUACCAACCCACACUAUGAUUGAAGAAGUCUUUGGUGACGGAGCUUGGAUAUACAAGAGCCGAGAUGGUUAGGGGUUAAGCUAUAGUCUAACUCUAGUUUCUCUUUCAACAAAAAGAAAAAAAAUGGGGGAUGUGAUUCUUUUAUUCAGGGGUUUAGCUAAGUUUUGACACAUUUACGUUCAUGCCGCAGAAGCUGGGAUGUGUGGUGGAAUCAAUCUGGUAAUGUUUCAUGUGCACGUUCCAGUUUUCCUUGUAUAUUCAUAAUAGUGGGAGUAUUUUUUUCUAACCCAGAUGUAAGAAAUGGCAUUGCAAGGGUGUUACAUAAGCUGAUGGAUGCUAAACUUUUGGAGCUGUACAGUAGCCAUUAUUUUGUUGUCUUAGCACCAGAUUCCUAGGAAGCUUGACUGACGGUAGUUUCUUAAAAUAAUAUUUGUAAAGUUAAGCUAUAUGGUUAAUUGAUCCAUAUUUCAAAAAAGGAGGAUGAAGAUCCGUUUAAAUUAUUGAAGUUUAGUUCUGUACAGAA